rnacentral:rRNA from 1 species
CUUUACUGUAGCUUUGUAUUGGACUCUGAACGGAUCUGUGUAGGAUAGGUGGGAGGCUUUGAAGUGAGGUCGCUAGAUCUCAUGGAGCCAACGUUGAAAUACCACCCUGGUGCGUUUGAGGUUCUAACCUGGGUCCCUUAUCGGGAUCGGGGACAGUGCAUGGUAGGCAGCUUGACUGGGGCGGUCUCCUCCCAAAGCGUAACGGAGGAGUUCGAAGGUACGCUAGGUACGGUCGGACAUCGUGCUAAUAGUGCAAUGGCAUAAGCGUGCUUAACUGCGAGACUGACAAGUCGAGCAGAUGCGAAAGCAGGACAUAGUGAUCCGGUGGUUCUGUAUGGAAGGGCCAUCGCUCAACGGAUAAAAGGUA